ACCUGGUUGAUCCUGCCAUA
rnacentral:rRNA from 1 species